rnacentral:pre_miRNA from 1 species
UGGGUCAAUUGCUCAGUAGGCAGUGUAGAUCCUGUGUAAUUAUCAGCAGCUACAUCUGGCUACUGGGUCUCUGAACACACGC